GAAUGUUUAUUUUCUGUAGUUAUACUUGAAAUAAGACUAGUGUUAAUCAGCCCAGGUUUCACGUAAUUUGUGGAGCGAGGUUGUACAGACACAGCAAAGGAAUUCCUCAUCUUCUAAUUGCAGUCUGACAGGCUGCAAACCUGUUUAAAUAUAUAUAUAUAUAUAUUAACUACAGAGAGAGUGUUGCAAACAUAACCUUCAGCUGCAAUGUGACUUCUCCCUAGCCUCCAGUUGCGACAGGAUUCUAAUAAACUACAUGCAGGGAGCAAUUUUUCAUUUUGAACUAAAAAAUAAAAUGACAUCUCAACAGCAGUAUCAGCUCUGGUGACCUCAGGAUUGCCUGUCACAGCCCAUCAGUCCUUGAGCACCUGUCACAUGUUGGGAUUUUGUUAAAAAAAAAAAAUGUCAUGGUGUCAACACAUUUACCAUAUGAAACUUUCCUGUUAGUGUCUUCUCUUGUUUUAUAUCCCCAUCAUUCAAACCUAAAGCAUUAAAGAUCCUGCAAAUGCCUUAGAAGUAGAGCAGUGAUGUUUGGUAACAGAAUGCUCAUUUCCUUUAAAUACUUCCAUCCAGCCCUGCAGAAGUAAUCACUUUACAGAAGCUAAUAAAGAAUGGAUUAAGCUACAGCUUUGAAGAACUCAUCUCAAAAGGACCCUGAAACCACUGUCUAAAAGCAAUAUUAUCAGCAUUAGAAGCUGAAAAAUUACACCAACAGAUCUAGUUGUUUCCUGAACCCAUAUAAACUUACAAGAUCUGCAGCAUUGCACAACAAGUACUUCUACAACUUCUGCUUGUUUAAAGGGCAGAGGUCCAGGAGAUGCUGUACACUAUCAGUUAAUUGGGAGCUAAGCCAACCACGCUACGAGAUCAUUGCCCUCCCUCCGAGCUUCUGCCUCUUCAAGACCUCAGAACAGUGCUGGCCAACAUUUCCUGGUAACGCGGUGAAACAAUGCACUUUGGGGAAUAAUACUGAGCAGGUGGGAUGAGUAACACACCAAAACCAUAGCUUUUGCUGCUGUAACUUCAUGUGCAACAAUCAUGUAAAAAUAAAUCACCGUGAUCAAGUAAGGGUUGUUCA
rnacentral:lncRNA from 1 species